UAGGCCUAGGCAUCCAUUCACGCGUCCAUCGAAUGAAAUUCCAUGGUCAAUCUAAUCGUACUAUACAAACCAAAUGUUGAAUAAAGGCAUAUUUCUCAUACCAAAUUAACAAGUAACGUAGUUAAAAGUAGUCAACUUCUACAACAAAUGUAAUAUUUGUAUUUGGAGGGAAAGAAAAUCGUACUUACUUACGUAAUGAUCAAGGCCGAGCAGAAACAUGACUUCAUCUAUUUCUUCAUCUCUCCCAUGACUCCUAAACCUACAAAAGUAAGAAUGUAUCACUAUCUACGCCGGUGGCCGAUCUUGCUACCGGUAGCCCUCGAGAAGAUAAAUAAAAUAAAAUCAAUGUAUUUUUUUGCACCUCAAUAUUUGAAGGUGUGGAAAUAUGUAUUCAAGAGUACUUGGGCCUAGGCAUCACUAUUAGCAUCGUUCAUCCAAUCGAGUAUGAUAGUCAAUACAGUUAGUCCUCGCAAAACUAAACAAUUGCGAAACAAUCAAUACUCAUUCCACAAAAAUUUAAAUAAACAUAAUUAAAAAUAGUCAAAGUAUCAUAUAUGGCAAUAACUAAACCGUACCAUAUUAUAGAAACUCAUCGAAGAAGAUGACUACAUCCACCAUAAGUCCUAGACCUACAAAAGAAGAUCCGAUUAGUGCUCUGCCCGGUGACGAGCCCAAGGAACAUUGAGCUCAAGUUAGUUACGGCCCACCAGAAGAUAUGUAUAGAAAAUUGAAUGCAUGAUUUUUAAACCUUACUUUGAGACGUGGAUCUUUAUGUAAGAGGGGGCUUUUAAUUAGGCCUAGCCAUCCCCACUCACGUGGUCCAUUUAAUGAAAUUUCAUGGUCAACCUAAUUGUACCUCUACAAAAUUAAAAAUUGAAUAAAGGUAUAUUUCUCGUACAAAAUUAAUAAGUAGUGUAGUUAAAAGUAGUCAACUUCUACAACAAAAAUAGCAUUUGUAUUUGGAGGGGAAGAAAAUUUUACCAACAUACGUGAUGAUCAAGGCUGAACGAAAACAUGACUUCAUCUCUCCCGUGAUUCCUAAACCUUCAAAAGUAAGAAUGUAUCACUAUCUAAGCCGAUGGCCGACUGAGUUACCGAUAGCCCUCGAAAAGAUAAAUAAAAAAAAUCAAUAUAUUUUUUCGUACCUCGAUAUUUAAAGGUAUGGAAUAUGUAUUUGAGAUUACUUGGGCCUAGGCAUCACUAUUUGCAUGAUCCAUCCAAUCGAAUAUGAUAGUCAAUAUAGCUAGUUCUCACAAAAUCAAACAAUUGCGAAACAAUCAAAACUCAUUCUACAAAAAUUUAAAUAAGCAUAAUUAGAAAUAGUCAAAGUAUCACACAUGUCAAUAACUAAAUCGUACCGCCUUAUAGAAGCUCAACAAAAAAGAUGACUAUUUCCACCAUAAGUCCAAGACUCCAAAAGAAAAUCCAGUUAGUGACCUGUCCGGUGACGAGCUCAAGGAAUAUCAAGUUCAAGUUAAUUAUAGCCUACCAGAAGACGUGUAUGAAGAAUUGAAUGCAUAAUUUUUAGACCUUACUUUGAGAUGUGAAUCUUUACAUAAGAGGGGGCCUUUACUUAGGCUUAGCCAUCCCCUUCACGUGGUCCGUCGAAUAAAAUUUCAUGGUCAAUCUAAUUGUACCUCUA
rnacentral:lncRNA from 1 species